rnacentral:rRNA from 1 species
UACGGAGGGUGCAAGCGUUAUCCGGAUUCACUGGGUUUAAAGGGUGCGUAGGAGGGCAGGUAAGUCAGUGGUGAAAUCUCCGGGCUUAACUCGGAAACUGCCGUUGAUAUUAUCUGUCUUGAAUAUUGUGGAGGUGGGCGGAACGGGUCAUGUAGCGGUGAAAUGCUUAGAGAUGACCCGGAACACCGAUUGCGAAGGCAGCCCACUACGCAAUGAUUGACGCUGAGGCACGAAAGCGUGGGGAUCAAACAGG